rnacentral:rRNA from 1 species
UACAGAGGGGCCAGCGUUAUUCGGAAUUAUUGGGCGUAAAGGGCGCGUAGGCGGCCAUGCGUGUCUUCCGUGAAAUCCCUCGGCUCAACUGAGGAAUGGCACGGGAAACUGACGGGCUUGAGUUCGGGAGAGGGAAGCGGAAUUCCGGGUGUAGCGGUGAAAUGCGUAGAUAUCCGGAGGAACACCGGUGGCGAAGGCGGCUUCCUGGACCGACACUGA